rnacentral:rRNA from 1 species
AACGAACGCUGGCGGCAUGCCUAACACAUGACAAGUCGAACGAGACCUUCGGGUCUAGUGGCGCACGGGUGCGUAACGCGUGGGAAUCUGCCCUUGGGUCCGGAAUAACUCAGAGAAAUUUGAGCUAAUACCGGAUGAUGACGUAAGUCCAAAGAUUUAUCGCCCAGGGAUGAGCCCGCGUAGGAUUAGCUAGUUGGUGAGGUAAAGGCUCACCAAGGCGACGAUCCUUAGCNGGUCUGAGAGGAUGAUCAGCCACACUGGGACUGAGACACGGCCCAGACUCCUACGGGAGGCAGCAGUGGGGAAUAUUGGACAAUGGGCGAAAGCCUGAUCCAGCAAUGCCGCGUGAGUGAUGAA